rnacentral:rRNA from 2 species
AGCUAUUCGGUCCACAUCGGAACUGAAAACGGUCCAUCCUACGAGGCAGCGAUGGAUCUGCACAUGACGGAGGUCUGAUGGAGCACGCCGCUGAUGGAUGAUGGAUUCCGACUCGUAAACUUCUGUUGUGAGAGACGGGUGUCAGAGUACUGUUGACAUCGUGACGGUAUCCAACCAGAAAGCCACGGCUAACUACGUGCCAGCAGCCGCGGUAAUACGUAGGUGGCAAGCGUUGUCCGGGAUUUAUUGGGCGUAAAGCGAGCGCAGGCGGUUUUUUUAGGUCUGAUGUGAAAGCCUUCGGCUUAACCGGAGAAGUGCAUCGGAAACCGGGAGACUUGAGUGCAGAAGAGGACAGUGGAACUCCAUGUGUAGCGGUGAAAUGCGUAGAUAUAUGGAAGAACACCAGUGGCGAAGGCGGCUGUCUGGUCUGCAACUGACGCUGAGGCUCGAAAGCAUGGGUAGCGAACAGGAUUAGAUACCCUGGUAGUCCAUGCCGUAAACGAUGAGUGCUAAGUGUUGGAGGGUUUCCGCCCUUCAGUGCUGCAGCUAACGCAUUAAGCACUCCGCCUGGGGAGUACGACCGCAAGGUUGAAACUCAAAGGAAUUGACGGGGGCCCGCACAAGCGGUGGAGCAUGUGGUUUAAUUCGAUGCUACGCGAAGAACCUUACCAGGUCUUGACAUCUUCUGCUAACCUAAGAGAUUAGGCGUUCCCUUCGGGGACGGAAUGACAGGUGGUGCAUGGUUGUCGUCAGCUCGUGUCGUGAGAUGUUGGGUUAAGUCCCGCAACGAGCGCAACCCUUAUUGUCAGUUGCCAGCAUUUAGUUGGGCACUCUGGCGAGACUGCCGGUGACAAACCGGAGGAAGGUGGGGAUGACGUCAAAUCAUCAUGCCCCUUAUGACCUGGGCUACACACGUGCUACAAUGGACGGUACAACGAGUCGCGAAACCGCGAGGUCAAGCUAAUCUCUUAAAGCCGUUCUCAGUUCGGAUUGUAGGCUGCAACUCGCCUACAUGAAGUUGGAAUCGCUAGUAAUCGUGGAUCAGCAUGCCACGGUGAAUACGUUCCCGGGCCUUGUACACACCGCCCGUCACACCAUGAGAGUUUGUAACACCCAAAGCC